GGCGGCGUAGCUCAGCGGUUAGAGCAGCGGCUUCAUAAGCCGCGUGUCGCUGGUUCGAUCCCAGCCGCCGCUA
rnacentral:tRNA from 2 species